GCAUACGAUCACCGAAGUUAAACAACGUCGAGCCUGGUCAGUACCUAGGUGGGUGACAGCAUGGGAAUACCAGGUGCUGAAAU